AGUCGAACGAUGAUCCCAGCUUGCUGGGGGAUUAGUGGCGAACGGGUGAGUAACACGUGAGUAACCUGCCCUUGACUCUGGGAUAAGCCUGGGAAACUGGGUCUAAUACCGGAUAUGACCAUUCCACGCAUGUGGUGGUGGUGGAAAGCUUUUGUGGUUUUGGAUGGACUCGCGGCCUAUCAGCUUGUUGGUGGGGUAAUGGCCUACCAAGGCGACGACGGGUAGCCGGCCUGAGAGGGUGACCGGCCACACUGGGACUGAGACACGGCCCAGACUCCUACGGGAGGCAGCAGUGGGGAAUAUUGCACAAUGGGCGCAAGCCUGAUGCAGCGACGCCGCGUGAGGGAUGACGGCCUUCGGGUUGUAAACCUCUUUCAGUAGGGAAGAAGCGAAAGUGACGGUACCUGCAGAAGAAGCGCCGGCUAACUACGUGCCAGCAGCCGCGGUAAUACGUAGGGCGCAAGCGUUAUCCGGAAUUAUUGGGCGUAAAGAGCUCGUAGGCGGUUUGUCGCGUCUGCUGUGAAAGACCGGGGCUCAACUCCGGUUCUGCAGUGGGUACGGGCAGACUAGAGUGCAGUAGGGGAGACUGGAAUUCCUGGUGUAGCGGUGAAAUGCGCAGAUAUCAGGAGGAACACCGAUGGCGAAGGCAGGUCUCUGGGCUGUAACUGACGCUGAGGAGCGAAAGCAUGGGGAGCGAACAGGAUUAGAUACCCUGGUAGUCCAUGCCGUAAACGUUGGGCACUAGGUGUGGGGGACAUUCCACGUUUUCCGCGCCGUAGCUAACGCAUUAAGUGCCCCGCCUGGGGAGUACGGCCGCA
rnacentral:rRNA from 1 species